rnacentral:misc_RNA from 1 species
CAAGAUUAUUAAAAGUAGUUUGUGGUGAGUGGAUGUCGAGUGAAGAUGGGUAAAGUUGUUUACAAAGUAUUACUAAUGCUAUCAACGAUAGCCUGUGUUUAUUCACAAUUUAACUUUUACCAAGACAAACCCGGAUCUUGUCCACCGCCAUUACCUGUGCAAAUUUGUUCUAAGCCGUGCUUGGUUGAUGCACACUGUCAGGGAGCUGGUAAAUGCUGCCCGACAACCUGCGGAGGAUUAAUUUGCUCCAGACCUGUUACCACAAGAUCCGAGGAGACCGAAAAACCGGGAUCGUGUCCAGCAGUUCCUACCGGCCGUUGGGUUUGUUCGCCGACUUGUACUAUUGACAGCGACUGUCAAGGCUCUAGGAAGUGCUGCAAGAACCGCUGCGGCGCCUUAGCUUGCCAGAAACCGGACAUUAAUGUUGUUGAAUCGAUUGAACCAACAGUUGAUCCGAAGCCUUAUGAUAUUGAUAGAGAUUUGUCUGGAUUCAAUCCUAACAAUCCAUUUUUGUUUGAUAGAAGUAACAAUAAUUAAUUGAUGAUACUAUUGAAGUUUUUUUAUUUUAUAAGUUUUUAAGUUCAAACUAGUCUCAUUUCAAUAAGGUGCAAAAUAUUUUAUAUCUAAAUGUUUUUUCUUUUUAUACUUUAUAAUUUAUAACAUUCUCUUAUAAAAUUGCUGAUGAUAAAUUAUUAGAUGAUAAUCUGAAGAAUCAAUCAAAACUCUCAGAUAAGUUUGGAUUUCGUAUAAAAUGUCACGAAUUGAAAUAUCUUAAUUGAAAGUUUGAUUAGAUCCUACACAGAGAAAAAAUUUCUUUGUUGGAGAGCUAAUUUUUUUUAACGGAAGAAAUUAUAUAGGAAAACGAAAAUUCUUUUGGCUGAGAAGUUUUGAACCAAAAAAAUUUCUUCUUACUCCAAAACAACUUAAGUAUACCAAAAAAUGUUUUGGGUUUGAAUAAACCUUUUUUAACUUCCCACUUUGAAAAUUAGUAGUUUUCAAAAUUAAGAAAAUAUUGAUAUAUCGAUAUCAAUAUCAAUAUAUUGAUUUAAUUUUUUUCUGAGUACAUCCUUUAAUUACAUUAGCAAACAAUACUCAGAAUUGUUGAAAAAAAAUAAAUGUAAAUACUAAGAAUUGUUGAAAAAAAAAAUGUAUGAAGUGUAAACUUUUUUAUGCAAAAAAUUAUAUUUACAAGUGUAUAUGUAACAUGAGUGGGAAUGGAAACACUUAGGCAAAGUGUUAACAUAUCUAACAACUGUGUUAUAUGGUCUAAGUAGUAGUAAUAAUAACACAGAUGCAAAUAAUACUCGUGCAAUGAUAGAAUGAGUCAUCAGACAUUUAUAAUAAAGUUGUUAUCGCGGUCAAGAGCAAGAUUUUAUUUUUUCCGCUCUUCAUCAUCAAGUCGCACACCUUCACUUAAUGUAAUUUUUUAUUUCAUCACCGGUUCACGCUGAAAAAAUAUGCUUUCGAAAUAUCACCCAGUUGUCGUAUUUCAAUGGGAUUUCCCCGCGAUCAAUAACAGUAAUCUAAAAAACUUGUCCAAGAUUCAGCUUUAAAUUCAUUGAAAAAUUUUAUCUGCAAAAUUCGGAAUUUUAUCAGUAAAGUUUCAUUACAAAAAAGAUCAUAAAAAGUUUGGAAAAUCCAAAAGUGCACGCCUCAUAAUCUCAUUUUUUACAAUAAAAUUGAUUAUAAUAAAAUAUAAAAAGCAAAAGGAUAAAAAACAGAAAACUGCUAUAGUUUAGGGGCGCCGUAACUCUAAGGUGAGGAAAAAAAAUACUAUAAUAAAAUGUAUAGAUAGAUAUACAAAAAAAUCCUCAGUCAUAUAUUAGUUUUUUAUAAAUAAUAAUUUAACGGCAGUGAAUUGAACGCUCAUAUUAAUUAAGAAAAUCCGUCGUGUGUUACUUUAGAUAAUAAAAAAAAAAUUAUUCCGGUACGAUCAUUUUUUCGACCAAUUUCCCUGCCACAUACACCCAUUUAUACACGGACGUCCAGAAAAGAUUAUGUUUAAUGUUAUUAUCUACUAUGUUAAAAAAAAAAAAUUGUUAUUGAAAUAUAUUUUAUGUGCCUGACAAAUUAUUUGACUUGAUAUAAGUGUACUCAUAUUAACCUGUAAGUGCGAUAUAAAU